rnacentral:tRNA from 1 species
CGCGGGAUAGGGCAGCCCGGUAGCUCGUCAGCCUCACAACCUGAAGCUCAUAGGUUCAAAUCCUAUCCCCGCAACCA